rnacentral:pre_miRNA from 14 species
CGUGACCUACCCUGUAGUUCCGGGCUUUUGUUUAUAGUCCAUUUCGAUGGCAAUUGUGAUUAUCAGAAGCUCGUCUCUACAGGUAUCUCACAG